rnacentral:rRNA from 1 species
CCCGCCGGCGACCGGCGCACGGGUGAGUAACACGUAUGAAACCUGCCCGUAGCAGGGGGAUAAGCGGAAGAAAUUCCGUCUAAUACCGCGUAACAACCCAUGGAGGCAUCUCUGUGGGUUUAAAGGAAGCGAUUCCGGCUACGGAUGGUCAUGCGUCGCAUUAGCUUGUUGGCGGGGUAACGGCCCACCAAGGCGACGAUGCGUAGGGGUUCUGAGAGGAAGGUCCCCCACACUGGUACUGAGACACGGACCGGACUCCUACGGAAGGCAGCAG